ACUGUAAAAAUGGCCAUUGAAACUGAAAGACUUGAAUUUGGUAGAGGUAGGCGGAAUGUGUAGUGUAGCGGUGAAAUGCUUAGAUAUUACACAGAACACCGAUUGCGAAGGCAGCUUACUAUGCCACGAUUGACGCUGAGGCACGAAAGCGUGGGGAGCGAACAGGAUUAGAUACCCUGGUAGUCCACGCCGUAAACGAUGAUAACUGGUUGUGCGCGAUACACAGUGCGCGACUGAGGGAAACCAUUAAGUUAUCCACCUGGGGAGUACGUUGGCAACAAUGAAACUCAAAGGAAUUGACGGGGGCCCGCACAAGCGGAGGAACAUGUGGUUUAAUUCGAUGAUACGCGAGGAACCUUACCUGGGCUUAAAUGUAGAGUGCAUUUUUUAGAAAUAGAGAUUUCCUUCGGGACUCUUUACAAGGUGCUGCAUGGUUGUCGUCAGCUCGUGCCGUGAGGUGUCGGGUUAAGUCCCAUAACGAGCGCAACCCCUAUCGUUAGUUGCUAGCAGGUAAUGCUGAGGACUCUAACGAAACUGCCGGUGUAAACCGAGAGGAAGGUGGGGAUGGCGUCAAAUCAGCACGGCCCUUAUGUCCAGGGCUACACACGUGUUACAAUGGUCGAUACAAUGGGCUGCUACCAGGCAACUGGAUGCUAAUCUCCAAAGUCGAUCUCAGUUCGGAUCGAAGUCUGCAACUCGACUUCGUGAAGUUGGAUUCGCUAGUAAUCGUAUAUCAGCAAUGAUACGGUGAAUACGUUCCCGGGCCUUGUACACACCGCCCGUCAAACCAUGGAAGCUGGGGGUGCCUGAAGUACGUUACCGUAAGGAGCGUCCUAGGGUAAAACUGGUGACUGGGGUUAAGUCGUAACAAGGUA
rnacentral:rRNA from 1 species